rnacentral:rRNA from 1 species
GGUGAGCGCUGGCGGCGUGCCUAAUACAUGCAAGUCGAGCGAACGGACGAGAAGCUUGCUUCUCUGAUGUUAGCGGCGGACGGGUGAGUAACACGUGGAUAACCUACCUAUAAUACUGGGAUAACUUCGGGAAACCGUAGCUAAUACCGGAUAAUAUUUUGAACCGCAUGGUUCAAAAGUGAAAGACGGUCUUGCUGUCACUUAUAGAUGGAUCCGCGCUGCAUUAGCUAGUUGGUAAGGUAACGGCUUACCAAGGCAACGAUGCAUAGCCGACCUGAGAGGGUGAUCGGCCACACUGGAACUGAGACACGGUCCAGACUCCUACGGGAGGCAGCAGUAGGGAAUCUUCCGCAAUGGGCGAAAGCCUGACGGAGCAACGCCGCGUGAGUGAUGAAGGUCUUCGGAUCGUAAAACUCUGUUAUUAGGGAAGAACAUAUGUGUAAGUAACUGUGCACAUCUUGACGGUACCUAAUCAGAAAGCCACGGCUAACUACGUG